rnacentral:lncRNA from 1 species
UAGAGUUUAAAACCCUAAUGCUGGCUGAAUGGAAAAAUUCAGUUUAGGGUUUAAAACCCUAAUGCUGACUAAAGGAAAAAUUCAAUUUAGGGUUUAAAACCCUAAUGCUGACUAAAGGAAAAAUUCAGUUUAGGGUUUAAAACCCUAAUGCUGACUGCAUGGAAAAGCUCAGUUUAGGGUUUAAAACCCUAAUGCUGGCUGAAUGGAAAAAAGUUCAGUUUAAGGUUUAAAACCCUAAUGCUGACUAAAGGAAAAAUUCAGUUUAGGGUUUAAAACCCUAAUGCUGACUACCUGGAAAAGCUCAGUUUAGAGUUUAAAACCCUAAUGCUGGCUGAAUGGAAAAAUUCAGUUUAGGGUUUAAAACCCUAAUGCUGACUAAAGGAAAAAUUCAGUUUAGGGUUUAAAGCCCUAAUGCUGACUGCAUGGAAAAGCUCAGUUUAGGGUUUAAAACACUAAUGCUGGCUGAAUGGAAAAAGUUCAGUUUAGGGUUUAAAACCCUAAUGCUGACUAAAGGAAAAAUUCAGUUUAGGGUUUAAAACCCUAAUGCUGACUGCAUGGAAAAGCUCAGUUUAGGGUUUAAAACCCUAAUGCUGGCUGAAUGGAAAAAGUUCAGUUUAGGGUUUAAAACCCUAAUGCUGACUACAUGGAA